rnacentral:rRNA from 1 species
CCUACGGGAGGCAGCAGUGGGGAAUUUUGCGCAAUGGGCGAAAGCCUGACGCAGCAACGCCGCGUGGGUGAUGAAGGUCUUCGGAUCGUAAAACCCUGUCGUCAGGGACGAAGGUUGCAUGUCGAAUAGAUGUGCAGCUUGACGGUACCUGGAGAGGAAGCCCCGGCUAACUCUGUGCCAGCAGCCGCGGUAAUACAGAGGGGGAGAGCGUUAUUCGGAGUUAUUGUGCGUAAAGGGCGCGUAGGCGGUGGAAAUCCCCGAGCUUAACUUGGGAACUGCAUCUCAGACUGUGUCGCUAGAGUACUGGAGAGGGUGGUAGAAUUCCACGUGUAGCGGUGAAAUGCGUAGAGAUGUGGAGGAAUACCAGUGGCGAAGGCGGCCACCUGGACAGUAACUGACGCUGAGGCGCGAAAGUGUGGGGAGCAAACAGGAUUAGAUACCCCGGUAGUC